rnacentral:sRNA from 16 species
GUCAACUACCCCUCCCUGCCCGCUGAUGCGGUCGAGGAAGGGGCUUGUCUAAAGAUAGCCCUUGUUGACCAGAUCAUCAAUUGGAGUAAACAAAAUUGGUAAACGAUAUGCAAGAAUCAUAUAGUUACCUUCGAAUGUCGCCUCAGUUUGAAGCUCUAAG